rnacentral:pre_miRNA from 1 species
CAAGUACUUCCUUCGUCCGAAAUUAGUUGAUGCUCAAACGGAUGUAUCUAGCGUUGAAUACAUCUAGAUACAUCCGUUUGAGCGUCAACUAAUUCUGGACGGAGGGAGUAUCUG